GUACUCACUUUUCAGCAGCACAUAUACUAAAAUUGGAACAAUAUAGAGAAGAUUUAUAUGGCCCCUGCACAGAGAUAACAUGAAAAUUCAUGAAGCAUUCCAUAUUUUU